UCACCAAAGAGUGCUUGUUGGCUGACAGAAACUGAUGUCAGGAAGACCAAUUAAAAUGAAGAGCCAGAGUCAGGAUCCUGAUUCCUUUCCUGCCAUCACUUCCAAAGUAGCCUUUUUCAUGCAUCCAGCAUAUUGUGAAGAGGAGUAGAAACAAGAGCUUAUCAGCCAUCAGAGAAUUACACCUAAUCAUCCGUAAGCAGGAACUGAAUUAAGAAAUAUGGGCAAAAUGGAGAAGAAACACAGCGUGUGUGCAUACUCAGUCGUGUUGGACUCUUCGUGACCUCAUGGACUGUAGACCACCAGGCUCCU